rnacentral:rRNA from 1 species
UGGGGAAUUUUGGACAAUGGGGGAAACCCUGAUCCAGCCAUCCUGCGUGUGCGAUGAAGGCCUUCGGGUUGUAAAGCACUUUUGGCAGGAAAGAAACGUCAUGGGUUAAUACCCCGUGAAACUGACGGUACCUGCAGAAUAAGCACCGGCUAACUACGUGCCAGCAGCCGCGGUAAUACGUAGGGUGCAAGCGUUAAUCGGAAUUACUGGGCGUAAAGCGUGCGCAGGCGGUUCGGAAAGAAAGAUGUGAAAUCCCAGAGCUCAACUUUGGAACUGCAUUUUUAACUACCGGGCUAGAGUGUGUCAGAGGGAGGUGGAAUUCCGCGUGUAGCAGUGACAUGCGUAGAUAUGCGGAGGAACACCGAUGGCGAAGGCAGCCUCCUGGGAUAACACUGACGCUCAUGCACGAAAGCGUGGGGAGCAAACAGG